rnacentral:misc_RNA from 1 species
GAAUUCAAAUUUGUUAAUCAAAAUUUACAUUAUGGAAUGAUAUUCUUUAAUAAAUAUGUGGGGGGGAAAGCUCUAUUAAUUAUGAUGUAGAAGAGGAUUAAGUAAUUAACAUGCUUUAACACAAAUUACAAAUUAGUCAUCUACACCAACUCCAUCUUGUUCUCUCUUCUCCUUUUCCGGCCAACAUUCGCCGGAGCACCAGAUUUUCCGGCAUCCAACGGAAAAUUCAGAAUAGCUUUUCUUCCUCUCAUCUUAAACGCUGCACAAUCAUAAGCUCUAGCAGCAUCAAUAUCAGUAUCAAAAGUACCCAACCAAAUCCUCGAUCCUUUUCGACUUGGAUCUCUUAUCUCCGCCGCAAAUUUCCCCCAUGGCCUUCUCCUUACCCCUCUGUAAUUCUUCUUCUUAUUAUUGUCUUCAUUAGAACCGGCGGAGCUGUCGAAAACUGGACUGAGGAUGGUAUCUGAAUCGAUUUUGAAUUCAGGGAAAUCGGAGCGGAGAUUGAAGUAACGGGAAAUUGGGGAGUUGGGUUCAUUUGGGUAUGAGGAAUUGGGUGAAUCUGAGAGGGAAUUGGAUGUAGAUGGCUCUGUUUUUACUGAAGUGAAAACAGGGGAGAUGUCAUCGGAGGAGGAGAUGUGAUCGGAAAAACAAGAAUUGAGACUGUCGAUGAAUGAUUCUGUAGUUGUGAAAUCUUCGAGGAGAUGUUGUCGUAUGAGUUCUAAUGUUAAUCCUUCAUCUUGUUUCGUCAUUUUGCAGUAUUUUGAGAAUUGCAGUGAAGGUGUUUGUGUUUAUGUCUCUGUGAAUCUGAAUUUUUUCUAGUGAAGGUGUUUG